rnacentral:rRNA from 1 species
UGAACGCUGGCGGCGUGCUUAACACAUGCACGUCGAACGGGAAUUAUUUUAUUGAAACUUCGGUCGAUUUAAUUUAAUUCUAGUGGCGGACGGGUGAGUAACGCGUUGGUAACCUGCCUUAUACAGGGGGAUAACAGUCAGAAAUGGCUGCUAAUACCGCAUAAGCGCACAGAGCUGCAUGGCCCAGUGUGAAAAACUCCGGUGGUAUAAGAUGGACCCGCGUUGGAUUAGCUGGUUGGUGGGGUAACGGCCCACCAAGGCGACGAUCCAUAGCCGGCCUGAGAGGGUGAACGGCCACAUUGGGACUGAGACACGGCCCAGACUCCUACGGGAGGCAGCAGUGGGGAAUAUUGCACAAUGGGGGAAACCCUGAUGCAGCGACGCCGCGUGAAGGAAGAAGUAUCUCGGUAUGUAAACUUCUAUCAGCAGGGAAGAUAGUGACGGUACCUGACUAAGAAGCCCCGGCUAACUACGUG